GUAAAUGUUUCUUCUCCAAUUGGAUGAUGAUAAGACUGUGACACGGGAUGCCACCUUUAGUCUUGUGAUGAAGCAAAGCUCAGGAAGAAGUGUGAUUAAAUGGUACCCACAUGUGUGCUGCUGAGAAGGAUGUACAGGGGCACCUGCAGCCAAAUCCAAGCCUCCUCAGCAGCUUCAGGUCUGUCAGCGUGCUGAGGUCACAGAAACAAGAAAAGCAGCUUCAGACUUCAGAGUGUUGUUUACAGUUUUCUGUCAUCAUGAUCUCCCCUGAAGUUUAUCACUAUUAGGCAAGCAAGCAGAGCAGCAGUUUGUGCUCACAGAUGGUGACGGUGUGGAGAGACGGUGGUGUUUCCUCAGAAGAACUAGCAGAGUCACAAAGGGCACGAGUCCAUCUCACCACCUUGACUUGCUGACUGAUGCUCAUCUGCACUGCACAGAGGAAAUAAACUGACCGAGGAGUGUUUCUGGGUGAGGGAGAGAGGAGUCAUCAUCCAGGUAAAGUGACGUGGAUCAGUGGAUACACUUGUCUCCCCUUUAAAGGAGACACUCUUAGAGAGAGACGAUCUGAGUCAUCCUUAAAUAUGGGCAGGAUAUCAAUCUUGGACUGUCUAACCUGCCGGAGCAGCACUGAAUAACCACCACACAUGAGCAUGUUCCUGCAACAUUCAGCAGCUUUGCUUUUGCUGGAGAGGAAACUACACCAGUGUACUGGGAUGUUUCACCAACACGUGCCAGAUGCUGUUCCUUCAUGGUGACAUCACCAGAGACGGCCCCGCCCACCUCAGGACCUCGCCAUUGAUCAUGAUGAUUAUAAUAAUGACAGCGAGCGGAACUAAGACUGUAAAAAUCCACGACCAGAAUGUUUAGAUGCUUUCUAAUUAUUCAUGAAUACUGAGAGCCUCUUUCUGUGUUUUGUCUGUUUUGGGUUUUUUUACCUCAUUUGUUACUAACAAAGUUCACCAAACUCAGUUUACAUUCUGUAUGUUUCCAUCUUUACCAGCCACACUCUAACUGCAAUUAAGAAAAUAAUCCUUAGAAAUCGUCGUUUUUCUCUUUUGUAAUUGAUGAUAAUUCAGUGAAUAUACUGCGCUGCUUCCUUUUGUUUCAUCUCACAUUGCUUUAAGUUUUUCAGUGUCCAGUUAUUUUUUACUGCUGUUUGAAU